rnacentral:rRNA from 1 species
AUUGAACGCUGGCGGCAGGCCUAACACAUGCAAGUCGAGCGGAUGAAGGGAGCUUGCUCCUGGAUUCAGCGGCGGACGGGUGAGUAAUGCCUAGGAAUCUGCCUGGUAGUGGGGGAUAACGUCCGGAAACGGGCGCUAAUACCGCAUACGUCCUGAGGGAGAAAGUGGGGGAUCUUCGGACCUCACGCUAUCAGAUGAGCCUAGGUCGGAUUAGCUAGUUGGUGGGGUAAGGGCCUACCAAGGCGACGAUCCGUAACUGGUCUGAGAGGAUGAUCAGUCACACUGGAACUGAGACACGGUCCAGACUCCUACGGGAGGCAGCAGUGGGGAAUAUUGGACAAUGGUCGAAAGCCUGAUCCAGCCAUGCCGCGUGUGUGAAGAAGGUCUUCGGAUUGUAAAGCACUUUAAGUUGGGAGGAAGGGCAGUAAGUUAAUACCUUGCUGUUUUGACGUUACCAACAGAAUAAGCACCGGCUAACUUCGUG